AGCGAACGCUGGCGGCGUGCUUAACACAUGCAAGUCGAGUGCGCGUCUGUAGCAAUACAGAUGGCGCACGGCGCACGGGUGCGUAACACGUGGGCAAUCUGCCCUUCGAUGGGGAAUAACUCCGGGAAACCGAAGCUAAUUCCGCAUAACAUUCCCUGAACCUCGGUUUGGGGAUUCAAAGCCGUAAGGCGUCGGAGGAGGAACCCGCGCACGAUUAGCUAGUUGGUAGGGUAACGGCCUACCAAGGCUUUGAUCGUUAGCUGGCCUGAGAGGAUGGCCAGCCACACUGGAACUGAGACACGGUCCAGACUCCUACGGGAGGCAGCAGUGGGGAAUCUUGCACAAUGGGCGAAAGCCUGAUGCAGCGACGCCGCGUGGGGGAUGAAGCUUUUCGGAGUGUAAACCCCUUUCGACCCGGACGAAUACCUCGCAAGAGGGGUGACGGUACGGGUAUAAGAAGCCCCGGCUAACUACGUGCCAGCAGCCGCGGUAAGACGUGGGGGGCCAGCGUUGCUCGGAAUUACUGGGUGUAAAGGGUUCGUAGGCGGUGUAGCAAGUCGGGAGUGAAAUCUCUGGGCUCAACCCAGAGACUGCUUCCGAAACUGCUGUGCUUGAGUGUGGGAGAGGCGCGUGGAAUUGCAGGUGUAGCGGUGAAAUGCGUAGAUAUCUGCAGGAACACCCGUGGCGAAAGCGGCGCGCUGGACCACUACUGACGCUGAGGAACGAAAGCUAGGGGAGCAAACAGGAUUAGAUA
rnacentral:rRNA from 1 species